rnacentral:rRNA from 1 species
ACGAAGGGGGCUAGCGUUGUUCGGAAUUACUGGGCGUAAAGGGCGCGCAGGCGGUCCUUCAAGUCAGAUGUGAAAGCCACGGGCUCAACCUGGGUACUGCAUUUGAGACUGAAGGACUAGAGUUCGGGAGAGGAUGGUGGAAUUCCCAGUGUAGAGGUGAAAUUCGUAGAUAUUGGGAAGAACACCGGUGGCGAAGGCGGCCAUCUGGACCGAUACUGACGCUGAGGCGCGAAAGCGUGGGGAGCAAACAGGA